CUUAAGCACUUUGUUUUCCUCUUUCUUUCUUUCCCUUUUUCUUCCAUCUCCCUUAGUAUUUUUGGAAACCUAGGCUUGAAACAAGACUGAAUCUUGAAAGCUGGCCACCACCUCUCUGGAAGUAAAUCUUUUACAAGCCUUGACGACUAAAGGAAGUAUGUUGGCCACCACCUUCGUAGAGUCUCUUUCAAUCUCAUCGAUGACGUGAAGUUAUCCAGAAGGUCCAUAUAUUUUGGGAUUAUCAUCAAUGAAGGAGAGAACUUGUACCAAAGAUCAUUGAAAGAGCUUGCUGAAUUUGUGAACGAGUGGGUUCAAGUUGAUGGAAUCGUAGUGUUUGUGAAGGAAAUGCUCAAUGGAAGGAGUCAGAGACAUUCUUUAACAAUGAAGAUAAGAAACUAAUAUUGUGUUGGGGUUCAUAUUUCUUAUUGUCUUCUUAACAUUUUCUAUUAUUUAAUAUAUUGUUUGUUGGGUUCUAAGGGAGCUUUGAGAACCUAGGCCCCAAUACAUACAUGCAGGGAAAAGCUCAUAUAAUAAUAACAAGAUUGAUUGGAAUGGUGCAUGCGUCGUUUCUCUUCAAUGAAGAUUAAAUUAUCAUAUAUAAAGCUCAGGUGUAGUUUUAGAAGUGGAAGAGAGCAGCUUUGGGCCUUAUCACCAGAGUCCAGAUGGUGAUAUUAUAGAUUGUGUUUUGUCUCAUCAACAACCAGCUUUUGACCAUCCUCAGUUGAAGGGACGAAAGCCAUUGAUAGGCCAAAAGCUCAUAAAGAUCAUCCUAAUAGUAUGGACUCAGAAAAUUAUCAGUCAUGGAGCUUGUCAGGCGAAUCAUGUCCAGGAAUUC